GUUCUCACUCUAUUAGUUCAUACAAAAGUUGGUUGUUUACAAAAGCCUGGCACCUCUUCCCUCUCUCUCUCUUGCUCUUCUUCUUGCCAUAUGAUACCUCCCCCUUCACCUUCUGCCAUGAGUAAAACUUCCUGGGGCCUUACCAGAAAUCAAGCAGAUACUGGCACUAUGCUUGUAGAGCCUGCAAAACCUAUUUUUCAAGAGCAUACUUUUUUAUUUUGAAGAAGUCUAAUUUAGCAAUUUUUUUCUUCUAUGUUUUGUGCUUUUUGUUUCCUAAGUCAUCUUUGCCUAACCCAAACUGAUAAACAGGCUGGAGGGGAGGUGUCAGUGUUCCUGGAACAACGAUUAUAUUCAUUUAUUGGCUUGAGGCUUUCAGGAAGCUGAACUGACACGAAGCAAAAGAAGUCCAUUGUUUUGGAUUGAGUUCCAUACUUGGCUGGCCCAGAGGUUGAUCUCACCACCAUUCAGAGAUCCAAGAAGAAGCCACCUGUUGGAUUUAAGAAAACCCAGGCAGAUUUGGCAGUCUUCUUGAAAGGAAGUAAUGCUUAUUGUGGUCAGAAGAAAGAGUGUGGCAACUCGGGUCUGAAAAAAGAGACAUGAAGAAAGCUGAGGACCAAUCCAUUCCAAGGUUCACUGUGGAAAUGGGGCCCAACCCUUAAAAGGCAAAACAGAUGCUGUCUCUAUGACGAAGUGCUCACUCUUCAGUGGAGCAGCCGUUUCCACAGCCAAAUGUCUCAACAGCAAACUGGAAUUCCCAGGCCAGGUUCUCCACUCUGUGCAACACACCCCUGAAGCAGGUGGAGACUGUGCUCACCUCACAGUGGCAGCUGGAAUGUCCAUGAGACUGAUUGUCCAGCUCAUUCUUUUUGGGUCUUUAUGCACAAGCAGAGGCAAAUCUGAAGUGAUGCUUGCAGCAAGGCCUUCUCUACAAUGGCGAGGAGACGCAUCAACUCCCUUUCCCCUCCCCUUGCUUUCUGAGGCCCCUAUUUCAUUUGUCAUGAAGGUGGAAUUGAGGCACUCAGAUGUAGGUAGGGCACAAAAAAGCUGCUAAGAAAGCUAACAUCCACGUGAUGAUGACCCCUUCCUUCUCCAUGGCAAUGCCAGUCUCUCACUUCACCUCCAUGAGCAUGGGCUGCAGUGCUGGUGUGAACCAUGGCAGGAUGGAUGCCUCAGGAUUUCAGAAAGAAGAAGAAAGCAAAAGACUUUUCUGAGCAUUUCUUUUUGCCCUGAGCUGGCCUCUACUCUCUGGGAGGCCGUAUAUUUGCAAGAGGUCCUACAUAAUGGCUUUGAGGAUUCAGGUGAAGGUGGUUGAGGAGAAGCCUAGUGUGAACUCAGAUAUGCAGGUCUCCUGAGGUAUGGAAGGAGAGUUUAUGUAUUCACAAUGCCUUUUCUUUUCUUCAUACUUUCACGGUAUGAAGUGUGAAGUGGGUAGCUAAUUCCCAGAGAUUACAUACAACUCCUCUGGGAGCUUGCCUUUCAUAUGCAAAGCAACCAAUCCACAGCCUACUUCCACCACCUCCUCUAUGGGGAUUUCACACUCUGGGCCAGUGUUCCCUUCCCUAAUCACCCCAGGGCAGGGACCAGACAGCUAAGGACAGCCCCUAAUUCCUCAGAGCCUUGAAAUGAUUCAAACCAGCCAGUCCUAAGCAUGCGUAUCCUGCCUUGGCUGUGUUCCCCAUGGAAACCACAGUAAAGGCUCUUGCUGGUGCUUUGCUCCUCCACCCACCUCCAGACUGACCCUGACGCUUCCCUCUAUGCACUGCCCCCCAUGUAGUGCACCCCAUCCUCUUGGGAUCUGUGAGUAAUAAACUGUCUUUUCA